rnacentral:lncRNA from 1 species
AUUUUGUUUCGUGCCAAUAAUCUCAAAUUGAUACCUCUAUUAUGAUUUAAUUUCCAAUGUCAAUGAAGGGUUAUUAAAACCUAGUUUCCUGAACACAACAUGGGAAUUCGUUGACCUUUUUUUUGUUUGUUUUUAUUUUUAUUCUGAAAAACUGCUGCUUAAUGUUUUAGAAGAAGGGACUGUCCAUCACACAUGCUUUGC